GCAGCUAACAUGCAGUCGAACGGUACAUUUAGCUUGCUACAUGGGAGAGUGGCGCACGGGUGCGUAAUGCGUAUGAAUCCGCCCUUAAUCUGGGGGAUAGGCCUAAGAAAUGUGACGAUUAACACCGCAUACGAUCUCCGUACAACAUUGUGCGAUGAUCAAAUCUUUAUACUGAUUAAUAUGGCCAUGCCUGACUUUAUUUAUUUGGCGAGGUAGCCGCUCACCAGCACCAAUAUGAAUAUGGGAUCUGAGAGGAAGACCCCCCACUCUGGCUGUGACACACGCACCACACUCCUACGGGAGGCAGCUGUAAAGUAUAUUGCUCAGUGGAAGCACCUCUGACCCACCCAUGCCGCGUGCGAGAAAACACCCCUCUUUGUCAUAAACUGCUUUUAUUCAGGAAUAAACCUACCUACGUGCAAGUAGCUGAAUGCACCGCCGGAAUAAGGAUCGCCUAACUCCUUGCCGCCAGCCGCGGCAAUACUGAGGAUCCAGCCGUUGUCCGGAUUAAUUGCGUUUAAAGGGUGCCUACGCGGCUUAUUAAUUCAGGGGUGAAAAACUGCGGCUCAUCCAUCGGAGAGCCCUUUAUACUGAUGAGCUUGAAUACUCUAGAGGUGGGCGGAGUGUUACACUUAGCGGUGAAAUGCUUAGAUAUGUCACAGAACACCACUUGCGAAGGCAGCUUACUAUGGUGUUAUUGACGCUAAUGCACUAAAGCGUGGGGAUCAAACAGGAUUAUAUACCCUGGUAGUCCACGCCCCCAACGAUGAAUACUCGCUGUUCGCGAUACACAUUUAGCGGCUAAGCGAAAGCCUUAAGU
rnacentral:rRNA from 1 species